rnacentral:misc_RNA from 1 species
UCAAACUUGGUCAUUUAGAGGAAGUAAAAGUCGUAACAAGGUUUCCGUAGGUGAACCUGCGGAAGGAUCAUUAUUGAAAAAAAAAUUAAAUAGACUGUUGCUGGUUUCCUUUCAGAAGCACGUGCACGUCUAUUUUGUUUUCAGUUCUCCUGUGCACUAUCGGUGAAUCUUCUCACUGCAAUAGAACAGACAACGAUUUUUUGCUUCAAAGAAAUUUAUUUUCUUUGGUCAGAGAAGCCUGCUGUCUUUACGCACAUGCUUUUGAUGCUCAUGACAGCUCUUCUUGUGAAUCGUUGUUUUGUUUUGUUCUCUGGAAGGUCUUGCCGUUUUACAAUCAUAUACACUGUUGUAUCUGGAUGUCUUGUCAUAAAAUAUAAUGAUCAUAUAACUUUCAACAACGGAUCUCUUGGCUCUCGCAUCGAUGAAGAACGCAGC